rnacentral:misc_RNA from 1 species
UUCCUGUCAGAAACAUGCGGAUGUUUGAAAUAAAAUUGUAGAUGACACCAUACAAGGAAACGUCAUUAAUGUUCCUAUAAAAAAUGAAAAAUUCUACUUGUCGGACCCUACCCAGCUGAAUAAGGCUCUGUACGAGGCACAUUCUAUGCAGAAUGGCAUUUUUCAGACAGUUGCAAUUAUUAAUAUGGAAAAAUUUGAUGUUACGAAAGAGGCAAAAGAUUCGUUGCACUGUUGAACUGUUAUGGCCGUUAGUGCUUUUCCUGAUUCUUAUGUGGGUUCGCACAAGAGAAUUGAAGAAGUAUAUACCAGAAUGUCAUUACCAGGAGAAACCUAUGCCAUCUGCUGGCUAUUACCACUUCCUUUAUGGUUUUAUAUGUGCAUUUAAUAACACUUGCCAUGGAUCAUUGGGAGACUCAUAUGGCAGCUUUCAAAGCACAACAAAUAAAACAGGAUUUUCUACAGUAUUGGAUGAUGUACAGAAUGUCUUCAGAAAUGAAACUAUAACACAUAAACUCCAGUCACUGAAAGGGAUUGCUGAUGAUGUAGAAGACUUAAGUAAAUUUUUUAGAAACCUCUCUCAUGGGCAGAAAUUGCAGGGUUUCAUCAGCAUUAGCAACUUAACUCAAGACGAAAAGAAAUUCAGACUGUUGCUCAGAAAUGCAGGAAUUAGCAGUGAUAAUAUAAAUAAAUUUGUGAGCUCCAAGAUAGCAUUGGAUCGCAUCUCUUUGCAACAUUUUCGCAUGCUGACGAGUGAUCCUGAGAUAUUUCUAUGCAAUGAGACAGUAUUAUCUGAAAUAUUGAUACCAGCAAGACCUGAAGACCUUCACAUCAUGUCUGAAGCAUUCUGUGAUAGCUACAACAGAAAUAUGACAAAUCUUGCGUCUGCUAUACAGGAGCUGCAGAGUACUCCAGAAGCAGUUAAGCAGGCCAUUAAUGUCAUUGAAGAAAAUUUAGGAAGGAAUCUCAGUUGGGGUGAUUGGCAACAGUUCAACAGUCUAAUACAAAAUAUUUCAAGAGAUUUAUCAGAAUUAGAUUCAUUUCAACAAUCUUCUAAAGAUCUCAAGAAGGCUAUGCAGGAAUACAGAGAAAUUUCUGCAAUUCUUGAGCAGCACAAUGUAUCUAAUGAAUAUGCGGCUUUCCUGAUGAUUCAGCACUUUUUCUGUGGCAGAAGUACUGAAGCUCUGUUGGGAAUGUUAAAAUUUCACGAGGACACAUCAGACAGGAUUGAUGAACUCCAGCAAAAAUUCAGUGGGCUGCAGUAUUCAUAUGAAACUUCAGUAAAUGAUACUGACAUUAGCCCCAAAUGUAAUGAAAUGUUCCAGAAGAUGAGCAGUAACCCUGCGAUUCAUCUUGUAUGGCGUCAAUUGAAGCCAUUCUUUCUAGGGAAAAUCCUGUUCACUCCACGUACUCCUGCUGUAGAGAGGGUGAUACAAAAAUUGAAUGAAUCUUUUGAGGUUGUAGUUCAAUUUAGGGAGCUGUUGCACUUUUGGAACAAUGUCUCCUUUCCUAUUAUUAAGAAAAAUUAUCAUAAUAUUACCUCUAAUAUGCAGUUCAUUAAGACUUUCAUUAAUUCAAAAUCUGGCCAGUUGUUGAUAAAGAACCUUUUAAAGAUGACUGGUUUACCUAACAGAUCAAUGACUUAUGAACAAGAUAUGCAGCUUAUUAACAGUCUCACAGACAGGCUUUUUAAUGUAACUGACGCAGAUUUUGAGACUAUAGAAAGUAUACAAACCAAUUUCAGUCUUUUCUUAGAGUGUUUUGAAACACACAAAAUUGAAGGAUUUGACAGUGAAGAAUCAGCUGCUGUGAGAGGAAUGGAAUUAGUUAACAAACAGAAACUUUGGGCCUUGGUGAGCUUCCUGGAACUGGACUCAAAUUUUUCUUUACCUACUUUUGUGAAAUACAAAAUCAGGAUGGAUGCCAGUAGAGUGGAUAACACAUUUCAGAUUGAAGACAGACUACCGAGACCUGGACCUAGAAGUAAUCCUAAUAUUGAUUUAAAAUAUAUAUCAUAUGGUUUUGCAUACCUACAAGAUAUCAUAGAACAUAGUAUUAUAAGUGAACAAACUGGCUCAAAUAGAACAAUUGGCAUUGUGCUUCAGCAGUUCCCAUAUCCAUGCUAUGUGAUUGACAGAUUUAUUCUGGCGAUCUCGCGCCAACUUCCUAUGUUUAUGACCCUCUCAUGGGUGUACAGCUGUGCAAUGAUAACUAAAUCAGUGGUGUAUGAAAAGGAACAUCGUCUCAAAGAAACCAUGAAAAUAAUGGGCCUUGGAAAUAGUGUUCAUUGGUUAGGCUGGUUCAUUGACAGUAUUAUACCAAUGCUUUUAACUAUUAUAUUGCUAACUCUUAUUCUUGUUUAUGGAAAAAUUCUUGAACACUCAGAUCCAUCUGUAGUGUUUUUGUUUCUCCUACUAAACUGUGUUGCAACCAUCAGUUUGAGCUUCCUCAUAUCAACAUUUUUUUCAAGAGCAAAUUUGGCUGCUGCAGCUGGAGGAAUAAUUUUUUUUGUCUUUUAUUUACCAUAUCCAACUAUGGUCAUAUGGGAGCAGGAUCUCACUUCAACUCCAAAGAUAAUAGCAAGCCUGAUAUCUAAUGUAGCCUUUGGAUUUGGCUGCUCCUACUUUGCUCAGUAUGAGGAAUCAGGAAUAGGAAUACAGUGGCAUAAUUAUAAUAGAAGUCCACUUCUACAGGAUUCCUAUAACUUGCGUUAUGUGAUGGUUAUGUUGGUAUUUGACUCCAUUGUAUACUUUCUUCUUGCUACCUACAUAGAAGCAAUUCAUCCAGGCAUGUAUGGUGUACCAAAACCUUGGUAUUUUCCAUUUUCAAGAUCAUUUUGGUGUGGUACUUCAUCAGUAGAUGUACUGGAAAUUGGCCUGGAAAAUGGUUCAGCACUGAAGAGUGACAACAGUGAUAACUUUGAACCUGAUCCAUUACAUCUCAGACAAGGAAUUUCUGUUCACAACUUGACAAAAGUUUACAGCAAUGGAAAAGUUGCAAUAAACAAUUUGACAUUAAAUUUUUAUGAAGACCAGAUUACUUCAUUCUUGGGUCACAAUGGUGCUGGGAAGACUACAACCAUAUCUAUUCUCACAGGCCUAUUUCCUCCAACUUCUGGAAGUGCAACUAUAUAUGGUUUAGACAUUAAUCGUGAAAUGGACAGUAUCCGCAAAAGUUUGGGAGUUUGUCCACAGCAUAAUGUUCUUUUUGAUAAACUGAGUGUUGAAGAUCACUUGUGGUUCUUUGCCCAAUUGAAAGAAUAUCCAAAGUAUCAAACUUUGCAUGAAAUAGGGCAAAUGCUUGAAGACUUGAAACUUUCUGAUAAGAGGACAGCACUUGCAUCUGAAUUAUCUGGAGGAAUGCAGAGAAAGUUGUCAAUUGCUGCAGCAUUCAUUGGUGGCUCCAGGACAGUUAUACUCGACGAACCAACAGCUGGUGUGGAUCCAUAUUCGAGGAGAGCAAUCUGGGAAGUGCUUGUUAAAUACAAAACAGGUCGAACUAUUAUUCUGACAACACAUUUUCUGGAUGAAGCAGAUAUUCUUGGUGAUCGUAUUGCUAUCAUUUGUGAAGGAACACUGCGCUGUUGUGGAUCUAGUCUGUUCUUGAAAUCUAGAUUUGGAAAAGGUUAUUAUUUAACUGUGGAAACUGUCUCUUCAAGUAUAAGAGAUCAUGGUAAUAAUUUUGGUUCACACAAUUCAAGUGAUGUGGAAACUAUGGAAGCUGGAACAGAAGUUGCUCAUGCAACCAUAACUGAAUUCAUAAAAAGUAAAAUAGAGUCAGCACACUUGGUUCAGAGCUUAGGAUCAAGUUUUGUUUAUAUAUUGCCUCAGCGAUAUGCCACAGAUAAAUUUGAAGAAUUGUUAAGAAGUCUGGACGAAAUGUCGGAACAACUAAAAAUCUGUUCUUAUGGAAUAAGAGAUACAUCACUUGAAGAAAUUUUUCUGAAUGUUUGCACAGAUGAGGAUUUUGAUUCAUUCACUGAACCUGAGGACAGUGUGUACAUGAAAGGUUUUAAAAGAGCGAAAGUCCAUUAUAAGAAACAUAAAGAUUUGAGUGAGCCCACAGUAACAAUUAGUGAGCAGUCAACAAUAUCUGCAGGUAAUGAACAAGGUCUUCCUUUUCCUGGAAACAAUACCACUCUUCAUCAUGUUGAAUCACAAAGCAAACACAAGAUAGAAGACAGGCAUCCACUGAAACAGUUCUCAGCACUUCAUAUUAAACAUUAUAACCAUGCAAAAAGAAAUAUCAAAGGAUUAUUUUGUGAGCUUAUUUUCCCAGCCGUUUUUGUGUUUUUGUCCCUGCUUUUUACAUUUGUAUUUCCGGACUUGACACAGCAACCAGCAUUGGUUAUUGACCCAUGGGUUUACGGAUUCCCAAAUUAUGUUUUUUUCUCCUCUCAAAAUUCCUCGUAUACAUCACAAAGGCUUGAGAAAGAGCUUACUGGACCCAUUGGGAUGGGAACAAGAUGCAUCAGUAAAUACAAUGAAAUUGAAAACCAUUGUACAGCUAAAAGCAUUAAUAUGUCUUAUGAGCAUGAUAUUAUCUUAACACCAGUGAAGGAGCAAUGCUCUUGCUCUGGUGGCACUCCGCAGUGUGCAAAGACAAACAAGUGGCAAGAACUACCAAGUGCAAAAGUUUCAACUGGUGAUACAGUGAUCAACAUGACAGGUCAUAAUGUGUCGGAUUGGCUUGUGAAAACCAAUAGAGAGUACUGGCGCAAGAGGUAUGGAGGUUUCACAUUUGGAAUUUCUGAUGAUGUCCAUAACUACAAGUUUGAUAAUGGACUUUCAUUUACAAAUAAUACAUUCAACAAGAUCAUAUUCGAAAACAACAGCAUUAUAAAUGGAGAGCAUAAUACUGAUGAUACUAUGAAAUCACAAGAAAUAAUAAAGGUUUGGUUUAACAACAAAGGAUGGAUUUCGUCUGUAGCAUAUAUGAAUGCCAUAAAUAAUGUUAUACUAAGAAUGCUACUGCCAGAAAAUAAAAGUGAAGUUACACAUAACUUUGGAAUUCAGGUCAUUAAUCAUCCAAUGAAUUUUACUUUGAACCAGAUGACUGAAGUUUUAAACAUAAAGUCUGCUUUGAGUCUCAUCCGUGCAGUGUCAGUCAUAUUUGCUCUGAGUUUUGUCCCAGCAUCAUUUGUUGUGUUCCUGGUAGAAGAACGAGUCAGCAAAUUCAAACAUUUACAGCUGGUAUCGGGAGUGAAUCGCCUGGUCUACUGGCUUUCUGCAUUCACUUGGGAUAUGGCCAAUUACAUGCUGUCCGCAUUACUCUGCUUCCUCAUAUUUGUGAGCUUCAAAGAGGAGGCUUAUAUCUCAAAUGCGUCGGCUCUUAUUCUCUUGCUGUUUCUUUAUGGAUGGGCAAGCAUACCUCUUUCAUACCCAGUCAGCUUUCUUUUUUCUAUCCCAAGUACAGCAUUUGUGACUUUGGGCUGUGUCAACUUAUUUCUUGGUGUUAUCACAACAGUUGCUACAUUUAUGUUGGAGUUAAUGGAUGAUGAGGAACUGCAAUAUAUUGGAUCCAUAACAGGAAAAGUAUUUUUAAUAUUCCCUCAAUUUUGCUUGGGCCAAGGCCUUAUGAACAUGGCAACACAGCAUUUCAGUAGAAAAAUAUUAUCUGCAUAUGGUAUCAGUACGCAGUUGAAUGUGUUCUCAUGGGAUUUCUUAGGAAGAAAUUUCUUUUGCUUAUUUAUGGAAGGAAUACUAUUUUUCUUAGCAACGCUGCUAAUUGAAUACAAAUACAAAGUGUUGAGAUCAGUAAGAAAUGAAUUUCCAGAGCCAACUGGCAAGAGGAAGGGAGAUGACGAUGUUGCUGAAGAGCAAUCCAGAAUUUCUAAGGGCAAUACUAGAAAUGAUAUUUUACUGUUGCGUGAUGUUUCAAAGGUGUAUAGAGGAAAUACUACUGCUGUUAAUCAAUUAUCAUUUGGUGUACAACCUGGUGAAUGUUUCGGUUUGCUUGGUCUUAAUGGUGCAGGAAAAACAACUACUUUUAAGAUUCUGACUGGCGACAUAGAAAUGACUUCUGGAGAAGUGUUUAUUUGUGGCAUUAAUAUUGACAGUGGUAUGGCUCAAGCUCAGAAGCAUAUUGGUUACUGCCCUCAGUUUGAUGCACUUGAUCCUCUACUAACACCAAGGGAACAUCUGGAUUUGUACAACCGUUUGCGUGGUACACCUGACAGACUGCAAAAACAGAUGGUGAAUAUCGGACUUCAAGAACUAGAACUAUCCGCUUACCAAGAUAGACUUGUGGGAACAUUAUCAGGAGGCAACAAACGAAAACUUGCUACAGCAAUAGCAUUAGUUGGUGAGCCAGCCCUUAUUUUUCUGGAUGAGCCAACAACAGGAAUGGAUGUAAAAGCUCGCCGUUUUCUGUGGACAUGUAUACAGCGAGUGGUUCAAAAGGGCCAGUCUGUUGUCUUGACAUCACACAGUAUGGAGGAGUGUGAAGCAUUGUGCACUAGACUUGCCAUAAUGGCAGAUGGACAGUUCACUUGUUUAGGGAGCCCACAACACUUAAAAAAUAAAUAUGGAGAAGGUUACAUCCUGCUGGUGCGCGGAGAAACUGGAGUAUUUGAUUCUGCAUUGGAAUUUGUGAAACAGUAUUUACCUGAGGCAGCACUGAGGGAAAUACAUUGUAACCAAGCUAAAUAUCAGAUUCCUCAAAACACAGUGAACUUGGCCAAAAUUUUUCAUGAAAUGGAAGUAUGUCGAAAGUCUGGUUUUAUACAGGAUUAUUCUGUUUCACAGACUCAACUGGAAGAGGUGUUCUUGCACUUUGCAAUGGAGAAUAUGGGUUGAGAACGAAGCUCACUAAGGUGUCCAUGUGACAAAAGAAGAUAUUGCAAGGCUUUGAGACUCUCCAGUGGAUAAAAAAUAUUCUACUUAGAAAUUUGAUCUGAUAAGCUGUCACGUGGACAAUACGAGUUCUUCAGAGCAACCCAAAAUCAUUGGUCUCUUGCAGCUGAACAUGAACCUAUAUUAGCCACCUGUGGAGUUACACAAGUAUCGUUUGUCUGAAAGAUCUCACUAACUUAUGACUUAUUAUGCAACUAUUUAUUCAGAAACAUUACGGUUGAAGCUUUCAGAAAGCUUUGGUGCUGUCUAAAUAUGCACUUCUUCAGACAAUUUUGAUUUUUUUUUUUUUAAAUGUAAUAUUUUUUUGGUGCUCACUAUCAUAAUGUGCCUUAACAGUAUUCGUCAAAGAAAUGUGUCAGUAUUUUUUAUAUACGUGUUGCUGCACUUUAUUUUUGGCAUGUGAUAUUGUGCAUUAUGUGCGCAUUUACAGUAUUCAUUGUUAGAGAUUGAUCUGAAAACUUGUAUUAAGGUACUUAAUAUUUGUGUUUUUGCACUAUUGUGUGUUCUGUUGGCACAAACUGUUAAUUAAAUAAAAUUUUACUCCACGUUUUAACUUA